AGCGGCACCGCAGCACCUGAUUGGCGGAAGGGCGGCAGGGCCCAGCAGCCGCUAUGGCGGGCGGAGGGGAGCGCCGCCGCCAUUUUGUGUGCGCCGAGGCCGGCUCCGGGCCUAGCUGUCGGCCGCGGCGGCGGGGGGCGCGGGACGGCGAGGCCGCGGGCGGCCGGGGACCGGCGCUGAGGGCUUCUGCGCGGCGCAGCCGAGCCGAGGUCGCGGGACGGCCCGGCCGGGCCUCCCUUCUCCCGGGAGCGGAGCACGGGUCUCCCCGCCGGCCCUGACGUGGGCGGCGGCGCCGCACCUGCCGCCGGCCGCUCCCCCGGCAGGGUCCCGGGGAUCGGGGGAGCCCAGCCCCUGCCGGGGACUCCUCGUCCGGAGCCGGUGGAGCCUCACACCGCGGCGUUGCCUCGUCCGGGGACUCCGCGGCCUCCUCCUGCGGUCUGCGCAGAGGAACGGGAGAAGGCCCAGCCCGGCCCGGCCCGGCUCAGGCUCCCUGCCCUGGGCCCCGCGAGUGUCCGCAGCGCGGCCGUGCGCCCCCGAGGGGCCUGGCUGCAGCCUGCCGGCGGGGCUGGGCGAGGCGGCUGGCAGGGGCAGCUUGUUCCGGGGCUGGCAGGUGCUGGGCGGCAGCAGCCUGCGCUCCCCGCGGGGCUGCUCUCUGCCUGUGCCCCCGCGGCGGGGCCGGGCCGGAGUUGCGGCGCAGCUCCUGGCUGAGGAAUUGACACGUCCCGGGUGGGCGACAGCAGCCCCUGGCCCCCCCGUGCCUUCGCACACCCCCACGCCGGGAGGGGGGCAAAAAAAACAACCCCUCCGCUUUAAUCCUUUGUUUCACACAUUCCCGCGGCCGGAUCCCCGGAGGGGGGGGGGGGGGGGUUGGUUCUCGCGGGCGGGAUCCAGUGGAUCCCAGCUAACAUGGCCUCCCCUGGCCCGCUGCUGGCUGCCGAUCGCUGCUGUGGCGUGGGGGCAGCCUUAACACACAAAAGCCUUUUUGCCUGUUGCCAGGGCGCAAGGGGUAACUUCCCCAGCUGAUAAUAAACCGGAGCGAACCUUGUCUCGCAGUUAUAAAAGCCACUCCUGCGGCUGCUGGAAAGAACCCGGUGGGGAUUUUUGCCCCCCCCCUCCCUUCCCCCCCUUUUUUUUUCCAUGUGCAAAGUCAAGAAAAGCCUGUUUCUUGUUUCUUGUUGCCUGUUUCUGGUUUUCUUUAGUCAUUUUUUUAACCCUUCUCAGCACUGCCGAGUUCCUGAGCUGAGAGCAGCCUCUCUGCUGGCGCUUCCCUGCCGAGGUGUGGGGCAGCUGAGGAGGGCAGCGUUGAGUUGGUGCUGGUCGUGGUGCAGGCCUGAGGUGGUUCUGUUUGGGGUUUGUUUUUCAGGCAGUCCCUUUGCAGGAGGCAGAUAAUGCCAGCUCAUCCCCUGGUAUUAGUGGCCCUUGGUUUAGAUGUAAAACAGUGAGGUUUUGGGAGGCUUUUGGUGUAAGUAGAGAUUGUGCUGUCAAAUUUGGAGUCCUCCAGUUAAAAAGCAGAUUAUUCUCUUGCUGGGUUAUGGUUGGAGUUGGGUGGUUGUGGGGUGGGUUUUUUUGGAGGAGAUGCUUUGUUGUUAAGGCUCUGCUUAACAAUUUUUGGCUCCUCUCUUUGAUUUAUUAGGUCCUGAACUCUGAACCUUUGUAUUUUGAUGAUGGCUGCACUCUGAGAGCUGGGGGCUGUGUCGUUGGGUGCCUUUGCAGGCUCCCCACAGCUGAAGCUCUCAUUUCAAGUUGGUUUUGCCAAGCUAAUCAGGGUUAUGCUUCCUUCCAGCCAAGUGCCUUGUGCCUGCCCAGGCUGUCAGAAGGUGUUUUGUAGGGUGGGAGCAGGAAGGGAGCAAACACAGAGCCUGACCCUAACUUGGGGUUUGGUUUGUUGCAGAUGGACCAAACCCCACACACACCCUCCCAGCUUUUUGGCCAUGGCCUCAUCGGUGAGCACUAUGAAACCUCUCCCUGUGCAGGACUGGCUGUGCUGCUGUGGUGACACAAGAAGAUGACCAGGAUGUCCCCAACAGCUGGCUGAGCUGCACUCAAGCUUGGCUGCUCCAGACCAAGUCCGAGCCUGGCUCCAGGGAGGAGAAGCACAGACAAGCUCCCUGUCCAUUGCUGAGCCACUCAGAGCUCCCUGAAUGCCACUGGCCUGCGUCUGCCAGGAGGUUUGGAUGCAGGAGCUGGGAUGAGCCUUUGCAAGGAGCUGUGCAGUUCUUCAACACCUCCUAAGCAAGCAUCAGAGGUAACCUGGUUGAUAGGAAGACUCUCAUUAAAACAGAGCAUGGAAUAAAGCAGGAAAAGUUGGUGGAGUCAGAGUUGACUGUUAAAA